UGAGUCAAUGAGGAGAAAAUCAACAGAAUAGCACUGAGCCUUCAAAAUGUACUGGACUUUGGAAUCUGUCCCUAUGCUGAGACUGCUUCUCCCAUGUUUGUUAUUUGGAUCUGAGUCCAGUUACUAAACAGAUAUGUCUAGUCUUCAGUGUCUUUGCCUGUUAAAAGUUGAUGUUAAUACUAUCAAGGGUUGUAACAAGGUUUAAAAGAAGCAAUGAGUGUUUAUAUAUUACAUGUCUAGUGUCUUUUUUUUUAAAGUUUAAAGUGUCUUACAAAGGUAAAGAUGCAGUAAAAUACAAUUUAAAAAAUGAACUGAAAUAAGGAAGAUAAAGGUAGAAAGUAGGCUAUGACUGAACACAGUUUGUACAAAAGUCAUGCAUCAUACUAGCUGUACAUGGAAUUAUAUUUGAACAGUGCUAUACAACCAGAGGUGAUUUUGUUCCUCAGACAUUUGACAAUGUGUGUAGACAUCUGGGUUGUCACACUGGGGGAGAAGACACACUCCAUAAUGAAGAAUUACCUAGCCCAGGUGUCAGGAUGGGAAAGUCUGCCAGACAACAUGCUAAUAACGCUCUUACACUUGCAUUCCCCGGCAUUGACUGUUACAGACUUUGGAAGAGGGAGGUGAUUCUGAGGACUAAAGCUACCCCAGAAGCUUCUAGAGAGUAAACAGAACUUGAGCUGAGCUGUGAAGAAUCCAGAGAAGUAAAAGACAUGAAGGGCAAAGGAAUGGGUAAAAACAAGUCAGGACAGAAGAGAAGGAAUGCCACUCAUUUCA